UCAUCAUUUUCAUUUUCAUUAUCAUUUUUUCUUCGUGUUGCCUUCUCAAUGGCACCAAACAAAUGAAUGUUUGAAUGUUUUUCUCCCUCGGUUAUCAAUCAUCGUCAGAUGAAAGAUUCAUCUUCUGCACCAUGUCAAACCGAUGUUAAAUUGAUCGCAGAUCCCAUUCCAUAUCAAACCGAUGGUGUUUCGGUGCGUUGAGCGUCGGAUCGGUGCCAACUAUAUCUCCUCUGCUCGUUGAUGAGGGCGGUUUUUCUCGCCGCCAUCCAACGAGGGAGCCUUCGGUUGCAGUCACUGCUUCUUCUUGGAUGGCAACGAGGGUGGUUUGGUGGUUUUAUUGGUAACUGGUUCAUUGGUUGUGUUUUUUUUUCUCGAGAGAGAGGUGAGAAUUGCUAGGGGAGAUGGGUUGCGGUGGUGGUUCGUGGGUUUCAGUGCGUUAAGUGUGGAUCGGUGCCAUCUCCAUCUCCUCUGCGUGUUUAUGAGGGCAGUUUUUCUCGUCGCCAUCCAACGAGGGAUCCAGUCUUUUUGCCUUCCGUUGCUUUCCCUUUUGUUUUCGCACGACUUUCGUCGUUGGUAGAGUUACUAGCGGCGUGGACCUGGAUGGUUGCGUUGGCUUCUGUGAUCGCUUGAGUCUGUCGGAGUUGUCGCAUUUCGUGUUCUUUUUUUUCCCGAUCCUGGCAGCUGGAUCGUUUCGUUGUUGACGGCUAUGCCGUGGUUUGGUGGUUAUGUUGGUAACUGGUUCAAUGGCUAUGUUGGUGUUGGGUGUGCCAAGGCGGAAUUGCGCUGGGCAGUUGGUUUUUUUUUUUUUUUAGGGGGAGAUGAGGAUUGCAAGGGGAGAUGGGUUGCGGUGGCGGUCUGUGGGUUUUGGCUUUGUUGAGUACUGAGGCAUUAAUCUUCCAUUACAAAGAAAAAAAAUAGCAACCGCGACCUGGAGGAAGGGAGAGACAGAAGGAGAUUAAAAUUAUCGACCUUGACUGACUAUGGAAAGGAGCAGGACAUGGGAAUCGAAGCAUUGGAAGCCAUGCUUAUGGAUAUGAUGAAUUUAGAGGUUAGGUUGGCUGGCUGUUCUAUCAUCAUGGUGCCGUGUUUUUUUCUCUUCCCCGGAGUUUGGUAAUGCUUUUAUGCCAUCCUCCUUUAGCUGUGCUGUUUUGGAUUCUUAGCUCGAUCAGUUUUAUUUCCAGUGGGAAAAGGAGGUGAACAGGGAGCUGUGAGUUCUAUCAAGAUCUAUAUAUGGUUUGCUGUGUAUGCUUAAUCUCCCUAAAUUAUUAUUUUAUCUGCUAAAGUUUGCCAUGGAAAUCGAUUCCAACAUGGCAUUAUAAUUGAUAGCAGCGAGCAAAACUUUGACCUCUAACACGUUUAUUUUCUAACAACAUCGAUAGUUCUGUCAUUAAGUUUCAAAGUUUCAAUCUUUUUUAUUUGGUUAAGCUGUCAUCGUGAUUGCCUUAUAAUUAAGUUCCCUGUGUUCUUUUUUCCCCUGGCAGGUGUGGAGUGAUCAGAGUGAAUUUUGGGCUUUUGAGUGAGAAUUCUAUGUUUUUUUUUGUUGAAUUUAGGAUUUUCAAGAGCCAAGAGUUUACUCGACUGAUAUCACAGACUUGCUGAUUAUGGCAUGGACUAUUCUGGACAGAAAUAGCAGACCAUGCCUUCAGGCAAUUCUGAGCUUUUUUUUUUCCAACAGAAAAGAUAGCAAACAAGAUCCGUGGCUGCUGUUGCACCGGGGAAUCCGUUCCUUUUCUUUCUGAGAUUCAUGUUGACAGAUUGUACAAUCAAACACUAAAUGCUUUAUUCAGUAUCUCACAGCCAAGAUUAAAUUCUGCUUUGUGUCCGGUCCAUUGAUCUCACCACUAUGUUCAUCCUUUGUUU